AUGGCAGUAUGCCACAGACAUAAGAUCAAUACAAAAGCCCCCAGUUCUGGUCAAAGACUUGGUUUCUGGUCAAUGGGUGGGACCAAUGGAACUGAUAACUUGGGGGAGGGGAUAUGCUUGUGUUUCUACAGGAACUUGAUUACGAUGGGUGCCGUCACGAUGUGUACGACCUUAUGUUACCUCAUUCUCGGAGCAGCAGGCAUGCCCGUCAGACCAGGCACCUGGGAGCAUGGCAACAUCUGGGUGACUCUUGCAAAUGUAACCGAUACGGACACUUUGUGUUUAUCAAUGGUGACGCCAUCAGACCCCUUCCGCACUUGCCUGGUUGGACUUCCUCUUGAUAUACAGCACAUGGGGUCUCUGUACAAUGAUACUGUGCUAUCACCCUGCAGCGCACUGGGUAAGCUUCAGCCCAUAUGGUGGUGCGAAGCAGGUGCGAAGCAGGAUGGAAGAGGUUCCACAUGGUAUAACAACAUGCRUGAUGCGGGCAAUUUUCCUGCCCUGCCGGUGCAACCACAAGAGCUUGACCUAUUAGGAACCACACAGGCUGCAGUAUGCUUUUAUCUAAACUACACUUCAGGAAUAUAUAUCCAUGAGACUGGCAUUGACGUAUCCCCCACGGGCAUCUAUGCCAAUGAAUCCAUGUGGUGUAGUUAUACCACUCGGAGUCAAUUAAUGCCCGGACCAGAACCCGGAGGGCUAGCUGCUAAUGUGUUUCUACUAUACUACCAAAGAGCCUGGAAAGGCAUACCAGGUAAAGCUGUGGGAGGCCCACGUACCUUUGGGCUUUUGACGAUGUUUCAUCCCGAAAAAUUCUUAGUUAAUGGAACCGUCCACACUCGAACAAAGCGGUCCACCCAUGGCUUUACAUCAAGUUGCGAUAGUAACGUAGAAUUUUGGAAUCCAGCAGAACGUAUCUUGAGUAGUAUUUUUGCAGGAAUAGGGACUGCGCAUGCUUUAUCACAACAGAUUAGGAUGCUGGCUUGCAAAAGAAGCAAAUGCUACUAG
rnacentral:lncRNA from 1 species